CCUACGGGUGGCAGCAGUGGGGAAUAUUGCACAAUGGAGGGAACUCUGCAGCAGCGACGCCGCGUGAGUGAAGAAGUAAUUCGUUAUGUAAAGCUCUAUCAGCAGGGAAGAAAGUGACGGUACCUGACAAAGAAGCUCCGGCUAAAUACGUGCCAGCAGCCGCGGUAACACGUAAGGAACACGCGUUAUCCGGAUUUACUGGGUGUAAAGGGAGAGUAGGUGGCAGAUCAAGUCCGAAGUAAACAGCCAAAGCUCAACUAUGGAAAUGCCGUAGAGACUGGGCAGCUUGAGUGCAGGAGAGGCAAGUGGAAUUCGUAGGGUAGCGGUGAAAUGCGUAGAUAUUAGGAGGAACACCGGUGGCGAAGGCAGCUUGCUAGACUGUAACUGACGCUGAUGCUCGAAAGCGUGGGGAGCAAACAGGAUUAGAUACCCGAGUAGUC
rnacentral:rRNA from 1 species